rnacentral:miRNA from 1 species
GUUCUCCUACUGGUUUCUCUGUUUUGUGAUUCUUGAUGUCAGAUUUAUAUAAAUCUGACAUCAAGAAUCACAAAACAGAGAAACCAGUAGGAGAACAC